CCAACCAUAGCUGAGAGAGGCAUAGCAGCGGCUUGAAACCCCGCAGACGGACGUUCGAAUCGUUCUGGUUGGG
rnacentral:tRNA from 1 species